CUGGAGAUUUUAGCAUUAAUAAAUUUUAUUUUGGUAACUGAGAAAUUAGAAUUGAUGAAAAUUGCCAUGCUAAAAAAAUGUAUAAUGCAGGUCUAAUAAAAUAAUUCAAAUAAUUCCAUCCUAUCCAUUCAAGGAAAAACUAAGGCUCUUUAGCAUAGACCCCAGGCAUAGGAAGACUCCAGUCAUUUUACCUUACCUUCAGAGGCACUUGUUUGUUUUGGAAAGGACCCUAGACUGAGAGUCAGAGAACCUGACUUCUGGUCUUAGAGCUACCAGUUAUCAGCUAGAGUGCUUUGCAGGAUAGGCCACAGUUUCCUCCUCUGUAAAAUAAGAGGGACUAAUUAGAAGUUAGUUGCAGGUUCCAGCUUUAAAACCAUGAAUGUAUUGCUUUAAAUUUGGAACACAUGGCUUAAGAGCAUCAAUAUUUUUAGCCACAUUGCCCUUGCUUCCCAUCCCUUUGCCUUCAUUCUGUUUUCCUCACAUAAUUAGGCCAAGAGAAUAACCAGCAGGAACAAUGAACACUAAAGAUUAGUUUCAGAAACAUGC
rnacentral:lncRNA from 10 species